UACGGCCACAUUACGUUGAAACAUUGGUUCCCGUACAAUCACUGAAGUUAAGCAAUGUCGAGCCUAGUGAGUAGUACCUAGAUGGGUGAGCGCUUGGGAAUACCAGAUGCUA